rnacentral:rRNA from 1 species
CAGUAGCCGCGGGAAUACGUAGGUGGCAAGCGUUGUCCGGAAUUAUUGGGCGUAAAGGGCUCGCAGGCGGUUUCUUAAGUCGGAUGUGAAAGCCCCCGGCUCAACCGGGGAGGGUCAUUGGAAACUGGGAAACUUGAGUGCAGAAGAGGAGAGUGGAAUUCCACGUGUAGCGGUGAGAUGCGUAGGGAUGUGGAGGAACACCAGUGGCGAAGGCGACUAUCUGGUCUGUAACUGACGCUGAGGAGCGAAAGCGUGGGGAGCGGACAGGAUUAGAUACCCCGGUAGUCCCUGUCUCUUAUAC